rnacentral:rRNA from 1 species
GUGUCAGCAGCCGCGGUAAUACGUAGGGUGCGAGCGUUGUUCGGAAUUACUGGGCGUAAAGGGCUCGUAGGCGGCCAACUAAGUCGGAUGUGAAAUCCCCAGGCUUAACCUGGGAACUGCAUCCGAUACUGGAUGGCUUGAAUCCGGGAGAGGGAUGCAGAAUUCCAGGUGUAGCGGUGAAAUGCGUAGAUAUCUGGAGGAAUACCGGUGGCGAAGGCGGCAUCCUGGACCGGCAUUGACGCUGAUGAGCGAAAGCUAGGGGAGCAAACGGGAUUAGAUACCCCGGUAGUCCUAGCCCUAAACGAUGAAUGCUUGGUGUGACGGGUAUCGAUCCCUGUCGUGCCGAAGCUAACGCAUUAAGCAUUCCGCCUGGGGAGUACGGUCGCAAGGCUGAA